UACUAGCCAGUCUUCAGAGCCAGGGAGAGUCUGAUGCUAAAUAAAGAGAGAUUCCCCGCAAACUGCUUAUGAUUCCAGAAUAAUUGAUUAUCCAAUAAGAAAGGAGCAGCAGCACCGGGGCCAUGUUCCAUGAUGUCACUGAUGCAGAUUGAACACCGAAAAUGCCGUUUAGCAUGCCGACCUGACCGGGGUUAGAAGAGAUCGACUAGAAGGGAAGAUGUGGGUGGAGGUGUGUUGAGUGUAGACCCGUAGGAUCUACAGUACCAAACACCCCCCGAAGUCCUCCAUCCAACACAUGUACCUGAUCAACAGCACAUCCUAGAAACUGAACCUCAAGAAGAAGAAGUGGAAGAAGAACAAGAAGAAGAAGAAGAAGAGGAAGAAGAUGAUGAAGAAGAGGAAG